AUAUCCAAGAUAUGGGAAGAUCAGAGUGAAUAUAUGACAAUUGGCUUAGAGCCUCUGAAAUAUGACCCUUUAUAAACCAGUAACAAAAUUGUAUAAAAGUGCGAGUACUAAUGCUAUUACUUGAUGUUAAAAUGAAGAUCAAUUUUAAAAAUCAUUUUGAAGCAAUGGCUCGUUGUCUAAACUCAUGUCUUAUUUUGAGACGUCUUUCUUAAUCCUUUCGAUGAAAUCCAUCACGGUCUUCACGCUCUUAUCAUCUGAGCAAGAAAACAGAAAACUAUUCACAUCAAUAACUCAUACACAACACUUUUUGUGGCAAAUGAAUAAAAUAUGAAAUAUACUUUAGUUUCUCCAAAAUCUCGCCAAAAAUAACUUUAGUCCUUGCAUAUUAAAACAAUGAUUUUAAUCUUUAUAUUUCUGAAAUGUCAUGAAUUUCAUCCUUAAUCUUAUAUUUAAUUUUGAUCUUACUAAGAACUUAAUCCACCCCAUUUUAAAAAAUACAACUUAAACCACACUUACCUAACUAAGAACCUAUCUUAGCACAAGCAUGAAUAGAAAUAGAUAAAAGAGAUAAAUAUAUAGAUGUCAGUACCUAAUCUUGGUAUUGUGUGUCCUUUGGGGUGGUGAAUCACCACGGGUUCAACACAGGAUUCUAGUAGUUCCAUUCCAUAUUGUUUCAAAAAAUCCACUUCACCUGCAUUAAGCAUUGAAAAGGUUUAGGAAAUUCUAACAAAAAUGAAUUGUAAAGCCAUGCAUGUUUACUGUAACAUGAAUUUGCCCCUCUAUAUAGAACCUUCCCUUUUGCCAUGAUUCGGAUUACAAUUUGAAAUUUUCAGUUGCAGAAGUUUUGGUUUCAAAUUUUUACUCAUGAUUACCUAGAAGACUUUGGGAAAUCUUAUUUUAUAAUAGCUCUGAUACAUCCUCCUUAUGAUAUUUGUUGUUUUUGAAAAUUUAGUUUUACAUUCAAUGGAGGACGUGGAAUGAUUGAAAGCACAUAAUUGAUGCCAAAGUCAAAAGCUAGAAAGCAACCCAAUAUUUGCACACAAUCAAUCAUGUUUAAACUGUGACAUAAUGAAAUUGAAGAUCAUUGUUCAGUCAAGAAUGAGGGCUAGCGAGAAUAUUCUUUUCCAAUAAACAAUGACAAAAGGUGGCAAGUGGGUACCUAGAAAAUGAAGAGAGGGACAGCUAAUGGGAGAAGAAUAUGCUUUGUCCACCACAGACGGUGACCUAAACUUUGCCCCUCCUACAAUAACAACGAAUUUCACCUUGGGAACCUUCGUCAGUGCCACACCCUGCACACAAAUAAAUUUAAUAUGUGAUUCAAACUUUUACGAAAUAUUAAAGAAACUAUAAAGUCAUCCUCUACUUCUUAUCUACAAUUGAUUCAUUAAAGGUACCUUCUCCUGAAGACCUGGCAGCGCAGCUGAUAAUAUUGCUCCCUGUUUGGUCAAAAUCAAACACCGAGUCAUAUUCAAAUCCUUCACCAUCAUAAAACCUCAAACCAGAUGCACUAACUAUGCAUUAAUCCUUCAAUUUUUAACUUAUUUCCCCAAAUCAAAGGAAUAAAAAUGAGCAGAAGAUCACCUGUGAGAAACCCAGAAGCCCAUCAAUAGGUCCGUGCUUGAUCAUGCAGUCCUCAAUGUACUUAAGGCACUCGUCAAAGUUGGUGUACUCUGUAAAUUCCUGUUUCGUCAUAGAAGUUUAGAUGGUUGCUAACAAAAUUAUGAUAUUCUCUUCCAGAAUUGAAAUGGCAUAUCAAAACUCGCUAGUUUUCAAUACGAAUCUCAAAUCCCCUUGGAAAACAAUACCAAUUUAGUAGGAGAAAAAUAAGUUGAAAUAAAAAUUGAAUGGAGGAAAUGGAACCUUGUUGAACUGGAACCACUCGUAGUAAGGAGGAUCAAAAAUGCCUUCGACGUCGGAUUUGCCUUGGCAAGGAAAAGGAGCAUCCACAAAAACAAGAUCAAGGUUGUCGAGAACGGAUUGUGGCCACUUAUGUAACUGCGUUUUCAGUAUUUCUCCGCUUGUUCGAAACCCAUGAAGGCACAAUAAUCUUGGUUUCCUCACGCCAUCGCUUCCCAUCUUUUUCUUUUCCUUCUGUCACCAACCCUAACGGAAUAACAGAAUUCAAGGAUUGAACGGAGUUAAUUUGAAGGGUUGGUUGGCCGCAGGAGAAGAAUAUGUUCG
rnacentral:sRNA from 1 species